rnacentral:lncRNA from 1 species
CCAGCCCGCUCCUCCCUUUUAAAUAUUGAAGCCCUCAAAAUCAUCUUUAGAUAAAGGCACAGACCUCCCUCCCAAGCAUGUCCUUAACCUUGGCAAAAUAAACUUCCAAAUUGAUUGAGAGCUGGUUUUGGUUUACAAGCUGGCAGCCAAAGGAAGUGACUCAGUGGAGGUGGCCCUGACCUUUGACAAAUCUAUCAGUGCUUGGUACCAGCUUGGGCUAUUUUUAUUGCUCAAACAGGACAAUUUGCUGAGGCCUGGGAGCACCCCACUCCAGAGAAUCCCUGAUGUCCCAAAAUUUGGUUGAGAUCUAAAGUUUAUUUUGCUGUACACCUCUUUGUCUGCAGUUUUACUUACUCCCAACAAAGAAGGUGCGUUUUCCUGCCUCCAUGACGAUGGAGGGGAGGCAACUCCUUUCUGGAAUUUCAUCUGGCUUCCAGCAGGGAAGAGUUCCUGCCAGACCUUGGACCUUAACUUGCUUCUGACACAGACUUUGCUAGAAGCUUCCAGAGCAGGGCUGAGCACCUACAGAUGACUGGAGAACACCAAAGGCAGGCCAGGUGGGAAUGGAUGGCGGGAAAAGCCCUGUGAAUCUCAAGGCACCACACAGGGCACAGAGGGAGACCCCAGGUAACAUGCACAUGGUCAAAAAAUGGAACAAUAUGAACAAGAUAGUAAGCAAAGUCUUACUGCAAUGCCCUUCCAGUUUGCCCCAGUACCAGCCCUGCCUCCUCCAGAUUUCACAUUUCAAGAAAAUCCUAGCACUCACCGGUCGGUAGUAAAAAUGUACCCCACGUGAUCCUUACAGCUUAACAGCAGGACACUGAAGGCUACAGCAAAGAGCACUGAAGGUAAAAACGGCAGAAGAAACAACACAGUGAACAAGAAGAUCCACAGGAAGUGGAGGAGCCUGGGUUUUGCAUGCAGAGACUGCACCAAGAGCCUCGGGUAAAGGGGUCUCAGCACCUGUAAUCAGCAGGGAAACGGUAGAGGACUUCCGUGCCUGCUCCAUGUCUCCAGCACCCAGAGCGUUUCCUACCCGGACACUGGCAGCCACACUGAAGCCUGCAGGGACCUAAAAUAAAAAGGAAACCUGCAACAAUGAGUGAGAAACUGCAGAGCGAGAACACGUGCAGAGAAGCAGCCUCAUGCCUCACACCUGGUGGGAAAACUUGGUCCUAAAAGUUUUGAAAAGACUGAUUUGCAACAUCCCCUUUGUCUAGCCGGGAACUCCCACGCUACUGUGGAAACUGAGCCCCAGGUUACGAUGCUUAGCACAAACUGGGCUUUGCUGCAGAGCUUCCAACCUCUGCGACAUGAGGGUGCUGCACAACCAUGUUCCUCCUCUGGGUGUCGGGGGAUGGACUGACUCACCAGGAGCCCAGGUUUUGUCUGUUUUUUUUUUGUUUUUGUUUUUAAAUAGGGACAGAGGUCAGGCGUGGUGGCUCAUGCCUGUAAUCCCAGCACUUUGGGAGGCCGAGGCAGGUGGAUCACUUGCGGUCAGGAGUUUGAGACCAGCCUGGCCAACAUGGUGAAACCCCAUCUCUAUUAAAAAAUACAAAACUUAGCUGGGCGUGGUGGUGCACGCCUGUAAUCCCAGCUACUCAGCAGGCUGAGGCAGGAGAAUCGCUUGAACCUGGGAGGCGGAGGUUGCAGUGAGCUGCGAUAGUGCCACUACAUUCCAGCCUGUGCGACAGAGUGAAACUCCUUCUCAAAAUAAAUAAAUAAAAUAAAAUAAAUAGGGACAGGGUCUCACUCUGUCCCUCAGGCUGGAGUGCAGUGGCACAAUCAUAGUUCACUACAGCCUCGACCUCCUGGGCUCAAACGAUCCUGCAACCUCAGCCUCUCAAGUAGCUGGGAUCACAGGCAUGCGCCUCCACACAUGGCAUAGUGUCUGUUCUGAAAGACCAUCAAGGGAUCCAGCUUAGAAGACAGGAGUGGCACUAAAGGAACUGCAGGGAAACAACCCUGUAUUGUGGUUAGGGAUCAGGAUUCUGAAGCCAGAUUGCUUGGGCUCAAAUCCCAGCACAGCCACUUUAUCAGCUGCAUCACCCUGAGCAAGUUACUUACCCUCUCAAAACCUCCAGAGUUUUAUCUGUAAAAGGAGUUGAAUCAUAGAACCUAUCUCAUUGGGCUAUUGUGGGAACUUAAUGAGUCCAUACAUGCUAACUGCUUAGAAGAAGCAUGUAGGAAUUGCUCAAUAAAGAUUUACCAUUACUAUUAUUUAUAAAGUUACCACUUGAAAAAUUAAUAUUAAUAAGGAAAAAGGAGUCAUCACUUGUUGAAACAUGAACAUUGCCUUAGGAUCAGGAUGACUAUGGACCAGCUUAAAGAAAAUCUGAUACACAGAUUGAGAAAUAAAAAAGUAAUAGAAGACUGAGUCUCUGCCUAUAAAUUCACAAGUAGGGACAAACAGAGAUCGCCUGACAAAUUAUUUAUUCAUUACAAAGGGAAAGGUAGUAACUUGACAGGAGAAACCUGGCAGGUACCACCUUAACCAAGCAAUCAAAGUUAAUACUGGCAGGGUGCAAUGGCUGUGCCUGUAAUCCCAGCACUUUGGAAGGCCAAGGUGGAAUGAUUGCUUGAGCCCAGGAGUUUGAGACCAGCCUGGGCAACAUAACAAGACCAAAUUUUUUUUAAAAAUUAGCUGGGAGUGGUGGUGCAUGCCUGUAGUCCCAGCUACUCAGGAGGCUGAGGUGGGAGGAUUGCUUGAGUCCAGGAGGUCAAGACUGUAGUAAGCCAAGAUCAGGCCGCUGUCACCAGAACAAGACACUGUCUUAAAAAAAAAAAAAUAAGUAAAAUAAAAACAACCACCAACAAGUAAAAAGUAGUAUCACCAACACUGAGACAGAUCAACAUCAUGUGCCUCCUGAUAUGGUGCACUAAGAAGGACACAGCAUCACUUCUCUAGCUUUCCUGCCCAAAACGGACAAUCUAAAUUUAUUUAUAAGGAAACAUCAGCUGCACCACACUGAGUGAACUUCUACAGAUAACGGCCUAUGUUCUUCAAAAAUGCCAAGGUCAAGAAAGACGAAGGAACAAUGAAGAUCUGUUCCAGAUUAAAGGACACUAAAGAGAUAUGACGCUAGGGGAAAAUUAGUGAUAAGGGACAUUACCAGAACAAUUGGUAUUGUUUUGAAUUGACUGUAUUGAUAUAGUAUUUGAACAUGGACUGUGUAGAUAGACCAGACAGAAUAAAUGUGACAAAACUGGUGAACCUGAGGAAAGGGCAUACAUCUUUCUUUUGAUUAAGAAAUACAAGUGUAAAUUCUUACAAGCCUAUUGGAAAGCAUAUGGAAAUAUAUUCAAAAGACAUAAAAUCGUA